CGCGUUUUUCGCCGCGGAGCUCGACCGCCCCGGGCCGAGAUGAUCCGCUUCGUCGACGAGCACAAGGAUCGUUUCGGGGUCGAGCCGAUCAUCGGUGUCCUG
rfam:Micromonospora rhizosphaerae strain DSM 45431 genome assembly, contig: Ga0070624_12